rnacentral:lncRNA from 1 species
GCACUCACACCUGAAGAUGCCAUCUCAACAACUCCACCACUAUCCAGCAGUCAGCUACCAACAUCCAGCACAUACCCUGAAACACCUGAGCAGCCCUCAGCUGUUAUGGAGAAGCCAAAAGAGAUCACUACACCGCCAGGCACUUCUGCACUCACACCUGAAGAUGCCAUCUCAACAACUCCACCACUAAACAGCAAUCAGCUACCAACAUCCAGCACAUACCCUGAAACACCUGAGGAGGCCUCGCCUGUUACGGAGAAGCCAAAAGGUAACUUUAAGAAGUACAGUGGGGUGCACUUAAAACAAUUUCAGUGAUGUGUCGUCAGAAUUGUUCCAGGGAUUAUCAAGUGUUAGUUGAUAUCACGAGAAAAUCACAGAACCUCAUACACACACACACAGACACAGACACAGACACAGACACAGACACAGACACAGACACACACAUUCAUUUCCACUGAAAUGCCUCCUUUAGAUCCCACCAGAGUCAUCAUGAGAGUGAGAGGCUUCCUGCACACAAACACGGGAGAGGAGGCAGUACUGGAGGCCUUAAGGAAAGUAAGUUAAAUGCCAUGCUUUAACAGUGGAUCACUUCAGUCAUUAUAAAAGACUAGACUAUAUUACCUUUUAACAUUUACAAAUAGAUUAAUAUCCAUUAUGAAAAAGGGACACACCAAAGUCAUUAUCUCCAAGAACACAAAUGUGAUGUAAGAUGUCUAGAAAUAUGUACGAGUAAACUAAAUAUCACGGGCAGA